rnacentral:rRNA from 1 species
GACGAACGCUGGCGGCGUGCCUAAUACAUGCAAGUUGAGCGCUGAAGGUUGGUACUUGUACCAACUGGAUGAGCAGCGAACGGGUGAGUAACGCGUGGGGAAUCUGCCUUUGAGCGGGGGACAACAUUUGGAAACGAAUGCUAAUACCGCAUAAAAACUUUAAACACAAGUUUUAAGUUUGAAAGAUGCAAUUGCAUCACUCAAAGAUGAUCCCGCGUUGUAUUAGCUAGUUGGUGAGGUAAAGGCUCACCAAGGCGAUGAUACAUAGCCGACCUGAGAGGGUGGUCGGCCACAUUGGGCCUGGGACACGGCCCCAACUCCUACGGGAGGCAGCAGUAGGGAAUCUUCGGCAAUGGACGAAAGUCUGACCGAGCAACGCCGCGUGAGUGAAGAAGGUUUUCGGAUCGUAAAACUCUGUUGGUAGAGAAGAACGUUGGUGAGAGUGGAAAGCUCAUCAAGUGACGGUAACUACCCAGAAAGGGACGGCUAACUACGUG